AACAAAAACAUUUCUUUUUGAUUUUUAUAUAAAGUAUAACCUGCCCACUGAAUUAUUUAAAUGGCCGCAGUAUUUUGACUGUGCAAAGGUAGCAUAAUAAUUAGUUUUUUAAUUAAAAGCUUGUAUGAAUGGUUGGACGAGGUAAAUACUGUCUUUAAGUAAUUUAUAAUAGAAUUUAAUUUUUAAGUUAAAAAGCUUAAAUAAUUUUAAAAGACGAGAAGACCCUAUAGAUCUUUAUUAUUAUUAUUAUUAAAAUUAUUUAGAUAAUUAAGAUUUUUAUAAUAAUAAUAAUUUUAUUGGGGUAAUAUAAAGAUUUGAUAAAUUCUUUAUUUUUUAAUACAUAAAUUUAUGAUUUUUUUGAUCCAGUUUUAUUGAUUAUAAGAUUAAGUUACCUUAGGGAUAACAGCGUAAUUUUUUUAAAGAGUUCAUAUCGAUAAAAAAGAUUGCGACCUCGAUGUUG
rnacentral:rRNA from 1 species